AUUGCUGAGGGGGGAAAUGCACUUUUCUUUUGGCAAUUCCAAAUCCAGGCACUUGAUUUACUGGAUUUUGGAAAACUCCUUUUUUGGCCCUGCUGUGUGCUUAGCCAUAACAAUUCCAUUCAGCAAGAAGGUAAACAAAAGACAAAAAAACUUGCACUGGCUUGUCUCACUUAUGAAACACCAUGGAGUGGUUUGAUUGGGUGGGGCUGGGUGCCACGUAUGUCAAUGCCUGUAAUUUUCCUAAUAAGCAAGUACAUAAAGAAUUACAUUCUGUUCAGGUGAUAACUGAGCCUCAAUCAAGCAGAAACUUUUUGCUUGACGUUAAAAAAAAAAAUUUCUAUUAGUGAAAUUUCUUUUUUUUUUUUGAAGCACCCUAUUAUCUAAAAAAAUCUUUGUAAGAUUUUUGUAAAAUUUUGUUUUACAAGAUUUUAUUUGAAAUUGUUUUUUGCAAGAUUGUUAUAUUUCUGUAUGAAUGUAUUUUUUAUUGGAAUAACAUAAAAGAAUUCUUAUCAGCAUCUUGAGUCUGGUUGUUUUUUUUUGGGGGGGGGUGCGGGUGGCGGAGUGUUGAAACAAAUUCCUGCCAGAUUACUCACCCGGCUCUUCCUUGGGAAAUCUUUGUGCUACCCAGGGAGCCACUUGUCUCCCCCCAGCCCCCCCCACUGCCCUUCCUGGCAGCAAAGGUGGAAAUAGGAGCCUGGGGUUGCUCCCCUGAUGGGCACUGAAUUCUCCUCCAGAGACUGGCCACCAGGCCUUGGGGCACAGGAGGAAACACUUGCUGUGUUUUAUCUUCCUGUCACUCCAGCCAGGAGAAUAAAUUGCAGAGGCAUCUGCAGAAUGUGAAACAAACACCUCCCUUUCACUUCCGCAUGCUCCUGCAGCCCUGUUCCACAGAGGCGGUCAGAGCCCGGCAGCCGCUUCUGACCUGGCCCGCACACCUGGCUGAGAUGUCACCCAAGAGGGUGAAAAGGACACAGUUGGGACAGCAAGCCCUGAAGCCAUCCCCCUGGCCUUCAGUCCACUCUUCUUACCUACCCCCUCCCACUCUGGUCAGCCCAGCAAAAUAAGGCAGAAGGUAAAAGAUUGUUUACAUGAUCACCAGAUUUUUUUUUUCUUGAGGUAAAUGGGAUGCAUUCAAAUGCAGAGUUUGUUCCAAAACAAAAUAGCUUUUGGUUCUCUAGAAACAUUUCCUGUGAGCAGCAUUAGAUCUUAGUUCUUCUGAGCGGCGAGUGGCAAACAAGUUUGUGUUGAGUUCAUAUUAAGCUCCUCAGUAGUGACAGUAAAAUCAGUGUGUGCUUUCUAGAAGGGGCUAUAGGAUGAUGGACAUUUCUGAGGCAAUGAGCUUCUUAACCUUGUUCUUAAUUUAAGGAAGUUCUCUGGUUGCUGGAAGGGCUCACUGCCUCUUGUUCCUAGCAGAUCUUCAUUUUGCUGCGUGGGCAGAGUUUACACGAGCCGCUUUUAAUUUGAUAAUUGGGGAGGGGAAGUUGAAGUGCAUCCCCAGAUUAGAAAUGUUAAGUAAUUUUCUUUCUAGAACUGUGGUAAAAAUAUCAGCCAUUUGAACGGAGUUGUGAUGUGGGAGGGUGCAGGAAGCAGAUGCAAUUUUUGCCAGGACUCAUGGGUGUGUUGUGUUCAAAGCACAUGUCAGGAUGACUAAUAGUUGGAUUGCCCUGACUGUAGCACUGAAUAAAGGCUUGAUAAUGCAUUCUCGGCUACUAGUAAGACAUGACCACUUUGUCAUGUGAAGACUAUGCCGAACAGCUCGGUUAUGUUCAAAUAAGGCUGCUAGGAGAACUGCCAUGCAAGGAAUCAGCUGUAAACCAAGGAUAAUUAUAGAAGGACAAAAACUUUCAGUCUGCUUAACAAAAUUUUUGAAACCUAGCUAAACGAAAGGAUAUGUUCUCAGUCGAGCUCGCCGUGUGCUUUCAGACAAUUUGCUGAGCUACGCUGUACCUCAGUUUUCUUAUUGCUAAAAUAUUUUGGGUUAGGUCACGUGUAUCGAGCAUUUUAUAGAGCCCUGCAAUUCUGUGGUCUGUGAGUAUAGGGUGGACUUCAAAUUACAUGUCCACCCUCCUCGAAAUGCUCAGCUCAGAUCUAGAAAGCUUUCUCUUGUGCUACAGUAGACAGCAUUGUUGAGAAAAUUGCUCUGACUUCGGAUGGAAAGAGGGACAUUCUCAAAUUGCCCCUUUAAUUAUAGUUAAGUUAUUCAAGCAUUUGGUGCUUCAUAGCAUACCAUUUUUUUAAUUAAAAAAAAAAAAAGAGGGCUUCCCUGGUGGCGCAGUGGUUGAGAGUCCGCCUGCUGACGCAGGGGACACGGGUUCGUGCCCCGGUCCGGGAAGAUCCCACAUACCGCAAAGCGGCUGGGCCCGUGAGCCAUUGCCGCUGAGCCUGCGCGUCUGGAGGCUGUGCUCUGCAACAGGAGAGGCCACAGCAGUGAGAGGCCCGCGUACCG
ensembl:lncRNA